AACCUUGAAGGAAAAACAGAACUGCGUUCCUCAGCUCUAUCCUUUCUGCUCAUUUCCUGUCACUCAAGAUGUGAUUUUUCAGUGGUGGUCUCCAUUUCAAUUCACAUAUGGCUGCUAGAUCAAGGGACUGACAUUAUCUAGAAAUCUGUGAAGUAAAAAACAUCCAAGACCCAUUCCCUGGGGGCAGAAAAAGGAGGGUAGAAAAAAAGGUGUGUGUGGGGGUGGUGUGGAGUGGGAAUCUCUAAUCAGGGUUCUCUGUUCAUUGUUCUAGAAGGUUCUAGAAUGAACAGGAGUGUUUCUGAGUGUUCCUGAGUGAACAUAGAUUCUAAUGCUGCUGUAGAUUUUUCUUAUUUCUUUGUCAUCUCCAUUUAUAGACUGAAUUAAAACCCUCAGUCCUAAAUGAAAACCUGGCCUUCUGCAUGGUUGGGGAGGAGGCCAGAAUCUCUGCCUUGCUGCUUUUUAUCUCCAUCACCUCCUGCCAACAGACUGCCUCGGAGAAGAUCAGUCCCAGCCCAGCAAUAGAAGUACGCACAAAACAGAAGAGAACACGAAGGGACUUCGGUUUCCUUUUUAUCUCAAUACAUACGGGCUAAUGAAAUGACACCUCUGUGUCCCUUGGGAAUCUCCAUGCAGGUCACCUCCUCUCUGAAGCUCACCGGGCAGUCUUCCAUGGCUCCUUCAGGGCUCCAGCACUGAUGUCACUUCCAUUACAUCACCUGUCACCCUGCUCUGGUGCUACCUGUCCAUCCUCACUGAUGGACUGUGAAUUGAGGCAGAAGUUGUGUCUUAUUUAUCACCAUAAUUGAGAACUGAGUGUUCUUUUCGAAUUUUAGCUUGCAUGAAUUCUAUUGAUUGACUUAUUAAGUGAAUAAAUGUCACCCUGACUCCA
rnacentral:lncRNA from 1 species